rnacentral:tRNA from 1 species
GAAGGUAUAGCUCAGUGGUAGAGAGCGUGCUUUGCGUGCACGAGGUCCUGGGUUCAGUCCGCAAUAUCUCUG